CACACACUCAUAUAAACACACACGACAGCUUCAUCUGCUCUCCUGUCUGGACUUUUACUAUUGAACCGAUGUCAUCUCAAUAGCCAUGUCUUCAGAGAAGUGUAGAAGACAAAAAAGAAGAAGCCGGAGGCAGAUUCUGGAAAGGCCAAGGGAGCUGAAGCCAAACCCAAAAAGAGCAAAGCUAAAAAGAGUGAAGAGUUGUCAGGCGAAGAGGCCAGUACGCCCUCAAAGAAGAGCAAAGCGGUAAAGAAGAAGAAAACCGAGAAGGACAAAGAAGCGCCAACAGAGAAGAACAUAAAAAAGAAG
rnacentral:lncRNA from 1 species